GACGAACGCUGGCGGCGUGCCUAACACAUGCAAGUCGAACGGAGUUACCCUUCGGGGUAGCUUAGUGGCGAACGGGUGAGUAACGCGUGAAGAACCUGCCUUUCAGUGGGGGACAACAGUUGGAAACGACUGCUAAUACCGCAUAAUGUCAUUUGGGGGCAUCCCCGAAUGACCAAAGAUUUAUUGCUGAAAGAUGGCUUCGCGUCUGAUUAGCUAGUUGGUGAGGUAACGGCUCACCAAGGCGACGAUCAGUAGCCGGUCUGAGAGGAUGAACGGCCACAUUGGGACUGAGAUACGGCCCAGACUCCUACGGGAGGCAGCAGUGGGGAAUAUUGGGCAAUGGGGGAAACCCUGACCCAGCAACGCCGCGUGAAGGAAGAAGGCCUUCGGGUUGUAAACUUCUUUUAGUAGGGACGAAUACAUGACGGUACCUACAGAAAAAGCAACGGCUAACUACGUGCCAGCCGCCGCCGUAAUAC
rnacentral:rRNA from 1 species